UACGUAGGGUCCGAGCGUUGUCCGGAAUUACUGGGCGUAAAGAGCUCGUAGGUGGUUUGUCGCGUUGUUCGUGAAAACUCACAGCUCAACUGUGGGCGUGCGGGCGAUACGGGCAGACUAGAGUACUGCAGGGGAGACUGGAAUUCCUGGUGUAGCGGUGAAAUGCGCAGAUAUCAGGAGGAACACCGGCGGCGAAGGCGGGUUGCUGGGCUGAUACUGACGCUGAGCUGCGAAAGCGAGGGGAGCAAACAGG
rnacentral:rRNA from 1 species